UUUUGAUUUAUAUACGGAGUA
rnacentral:piRNA from 1 species